rnacentral:rRNA from 1 species
AUGAUUGUGCAAAAUGCCUUGCGAUGCGCGAAAGUUGCCUUGGAGGGCAAGGCUCCUGAGCUCAAUGGGCACCGCGCCAAUCCCAACUACAUGAAUUCAUGUGGGUACUUUCCCCUCCACCAAGCUGCUGAAAUGUUCUCUGCCGACAUGAUCAAAUUGCUCUUCCACUAUGGCGCAUCGGCCAAUUUGCGUACGUCUAGCCCUGAAGUCAUCGAGGGCCUACUCCCACUACAUGUUGCAGUUGAGAACGCUUGCCGGCAUAAGUUUCUUGAGGACAACCUAUUACCUGACAAAGAGAAUACCGACUAUGUCUACAUGCUCAUUCAACUGGUUUGCUUACCUGAAAUGAAGAUCUUCUUGGAUACAAUCAGACUGAUUGCAGAAAGAACAGAUGAUCUACUUGCUGUGCUCUGGAAAUACAUAUAG